rnacentral:lncRNA from 1 species
CUUUGACAACAGAGUAAAGACUGUUAGCAAGAAAGCCAGACUCAUCUAGAUUAGAAUUGCAAACUCCUGCCAUGGUACCCACUACUUUCUACUUGAGUCUGUUAUUUCUGGAUCUGCCUACCAGAGUCCAUAUUCCUCACUGAAGGUGGUGUUUAGGUGUGGAAAAAGUAUACAUGCAAAGUAACUACUAAUGAAAGUUUGUGAAGAUGUUAAAAUCAACAAAUUCAUCACCCUUAUCUUAAGAAUAUUUUUCCCUUUGCUAAUGUUGACAUCUUUACUUAAUUCUUGUAUUUCUCUCUUUCCUUUUAUUGCCAAAAAUUUUAAAUAAAUGAGCUAUAUUCAGUUCUUCAGUAGCAAUACUUUAUUAUUGCACAUGUAUUUUAAU